ensembl:lncRNA LINC01320 long intergenic non-protein coding RNA 1320
UGCCACCACGUAAGAAGUGCCUUUUGCCUCCCACCAUUAUUCUGAGGCCUCCUCAGCCAUGUGGAACUGAUGACACAUCUAGAAGACCCUCACCUUAUGCUUAUGCUGGCCCCUUGAUCUUGGCCUCCAGAAAUGUAUAAUGAAGAAUCUUGAGGUCCUCCUGGAUUACCAAAGUGGGCCCUAAAUCCAGUGGCAGAAGACACAGACACAGAGAGGAGACCAGGUGAAGACAAAAGAAGAGGCUGGAGUGAUGCAACCAUCAGAGAGUGAAAAUACUCAGUUACCUCCUGGUUUAUGAGGCAAUGAAGUAUUCCAGCACAUAAAUAUUGACGCUGAGACCCAUGGGAUGUAGGAGUGCUGAGCACAUUUGCAAGACAUAAAGACCGAAGAGGUGAAUCACUUCAAAGAGAAGGACCAGAUUCUCAUGGACCCCACUGCCAUGCUGGCCAGACAUCUUGCUGCCAUUGUUUUCCUGUUAUUUACUCCCAAACAGAUGGAGUGUCGCUCUGUCACCCAGGCUGGAGUGCAGUGGCACGAUCUCGGCUUACUGCAAGAUCUACCUCCCGGGUUCACGCCAUUCUCCUGCCUCAGCCUCCCGAGUAGCUGGGACUACAGGCGUCCGCCACCACGCCCGGCUAAUUUUUUGUUUUUUUUAGUAUAGACGGGGUUUCACCGUGUUAGCCAGGAUGGUCUCAAUCUCCUGACCUCGUGACCCGCCCGCCUUGGCCUCCCAAAGUGAAGUCUCUUUUCAAAAUCUUAAUGCUUACCUGUGUUUCUUU